GGGGAAUCUUCCGCAAUGGACGAAAGUCUGACGGAGCAACGCCGCGUGAGUGAUGACGGCCUUCGGGUUGUAAAGCUCUGUUAAUCGGGACGAAUGGUUCUUGUGCAAAUAGUGCGAGGAUUUGACGGUACCGGAAUAGAAAGCCACGGCUAACUACGUGCCAGCAGCCGCGGUAAUACGUAGGUGGCAAGCGUUGUCCGGAAUUAUUGGGCGUAAAGCGCGCGCAGGCGGAUUGGUCAGUCUGUCUUAAAAGUUCGGGGCUUAACCCCGUGAUGGGAUGGAAACUGCCAAUCUAGAGUAUCGGAGAGGAAAGUGGAAUUCCUAGUGUAGCGGUGAAAUGCGUAGAUAUUAGGAAGAACACCAGUGGCGAAGGCGACUUUCUGGACGAAAACUGACGCUGAGGCGCGAAAGCCAGGGGAGCGAACGGGAUUAGAUACCCCGGUAGUCCUGGCCGUAAACGAUGGGUACUAGGUGUAGGAGGUAUCGACCCCUUCUGUGCCGGAGUUAACGCAAUAAGUACCCCGCCUGGGGAGUACGACCGCAAGGUUG
rnacentral:rRNA from 1 species